rnacentral:rRNA from 1 species
AAAGCGUGCGCAGGCGGUUAUAUAAGACAGAUGUGAAAUCCCCGGGCUCAACCUGGGAACUGCAUUUGUGACUGUAUAGCUGGAGUGCGGCAGAGGGGGAUGGAAUUCCGCGUGUAGCAGUGAAAUGCGUAGAUAUGCGGAGGAACACCGAUGGCGAAGGCAAUCCCCUGGACCUGUACUGACGCUCAUGCACGAAAGCGUGGGGAGCAAACAGGAUUAGAUACCCUUGU